UACAGAGGGUGCGAGCGUUGUCCGGAAUCACUGGGCGUAAAGGGCGCGUAGGUGGCUUGGUAAGCGUGUGGUGAAAGCCCGGGGCUCAACCCCGGGUCUGCCAUGCGAACUGCCGAGCUCGAGCGUAGUAGAGGCAGGUGGAAUUUCGGGUGUAGCGGUGGAAUGCGUAGAGAUCCGAAAGAACACCGGUGGCGAAGGCGGCCUGCUGGGCUACUGCUGACACUGAGGCGCGACAGCGUGGGGAGCAAACAGG
rnacentral:rRNA from 1 species